CCACAGCCCAAGCACAUCCCCCACCCCCCAAAACUGUCUCCUCUGGAGACCAUAUAACUUGUUAGGUUUAUUUCUAGGUAGCUGAUGACUUUUGAAUGAUAUUGCAAAGACAACUAAAACAUUUAUUUUCUAAUUGUAAGACUACAGAGCUUUUAACCAAGUCUUUCCUGUCAUCAGAGGCCUGCGAGCACCAGUGCAGAGAAGACAGGGACUGUGGGAGUGGACAUCAGUGCGUGAGGAAGGGCUGUGGGCACGUCUGCGCCCCCGUCCAUCAAGUCGGUAUCUGUGUGACGGAGUGCAACGUAGACCAGGACUGUGGGGAAGGAAGACAAUGCACCAGCAAUGGAUGUGGCCGGGUCUGCUCCCCAGUCCGGCGAGAAGAUGUAGGUAUCUGUGUGACGGAGUGCAAGGUAGACCAGGACUGUGGGGAAGGAAGACGAUGCACCAGCAAUGGGUGUGGCCGUGUCUGCUCCCCAGUCCAGCAAAAAGAGGCCUGCGAGCACCAGUGCAGAGAAGACAGGGACUGUGGGAGUGGACAUCAGUGCGUGAGGAAGGGCUGUGGGCACGUCUGCGCCCCCGUCCAUCAAGUCGAUGUAGGUAUCUGUGUGACGGAGUGCCGUGUAGACCAGGACUGUGGGGAAGGAAGACAAUGCACCAGCAAUGGAUGUGGCCGUGUCUGCUCCCCAGCCCAGCAAAGAGAGGCCUGCGAGCACCAAUGCAGAGAAGACAAGGACUGUGGGAGUGGACAUCAGUGCGUGAGGAAGGGCUGUGGGCACGUCUGCUCCCCCAUCCCUCAAGUAGGUAUCUGUGUGACGGAGUGCAAUGUAGACCAGGACUGUGGGGCAGGAAGACGAUGCACCAGCAAUGGAUGUGGCCGGGUCUGCUCCCCACCCCAGGGAGGAGGACUCUGUGUGGACCGCUGCCGAGGAAACUGGGACUGUGGGGCCGGAGAAGAAUGUAUCAGGAAGGGAUGUGGACGGGUCUGCUCUCCAGCCCAGGAGCCAGGUAAGAGCCCUGCCUAGGUCUCCAACCCCACACAACCCAGGAGGGGACUGUGUGCUUACCUCUGCCUGGACUCCCCUUCCUUAGAGGGUUAAUUCCCA
rnacentral:lncRNA from 1 species